AUGGACGAUGCGGGGGAGGUGGUCGCCGGAGACGUCGAUGCCGGCGGCAAUGGUGACCCCGAAGAAGGGCAAGGCGAAAGCGAAGGCUUCGACCCCAACUCGGACGUGGGUCAACCUGAUGGAGUUGAAGAAAGGAAGAGAGAGUUGACUGACAAGCUGGAUACCUUGAGUAAGAAAAAGCAUGAUCUUGUGCAGAUGCUGAAGCAGAUUUUAAAUGCCGAAGAGGAAAUCAGAACACGUAGCAUGCAGGCUUCACUGCGUGCUGCCAUGCCUCAGCCGCCAGAAAACACAGCUGAUGGAAGUGUUCCUAGACAGGUGCCCAGAAUGACCGUUGAUGUCAAUUUCAGCGAGUUUGCUGGGGAGUCAGAUGCUGGUUCCAACCAGGGCACUCCUGGGCUCCCCUUGCAUCAUGUUCACAGUAUUUCCCCUUCAACAGCCUCUUUUGCUAGGUCUCCAUUCGGUUCUCGCAACCACAACCCUGGCAACACUCCAAGAAGUCCAGCACCUUUCUCUACAGCAAGCCCAUCUCGCUUCGCAGGUACUGGGCAUCAAGGACACCACCCCUCAGCAUCACUACCAGCAGGCAACUUUGUAGCAUCGUCGCCUUCCCCUGCUGCAUCCGGUGGCUCUUCCUCUGUAUUCAGGGACUAUCGCCCGCCCAGUUCAACAUAA
rnacentral:rRNA from 1 species